UACGAAGGGUGCAAGCGUUAUUCGGAAUGAUUGGGCGUACAGGGUGCGCAGGCGGUAUGUUAAGUCAACUGUCAAAGACCUCAGCCUAACUGGGGAACGGCGGUAGAUACUGGCGUACUAGAGGAUGGAAGAGAGAAGUGGAAUUCUUGGAGUAGCGGUAAAAUGCGUAGAUCUCAAGAGGAACACCGAUGGCGAAGGCAGCUUCUUGGUCCAUACCUGACGCUCGUGCACGAAAGCGUGGGGAGCAAACAGG
rnacentral:rRNA from 1 species